GAUGAAGAACGCAGCGAAAUGCGAUAAGUAGUGUGAAUUGCAGAAUUCAGUGAAUCAUCGAAUCUUUGAACGCACAUUGCGCCCCUUGGUAUUCCAUGGGGCAUGCCUGUUCGAGCGUCAUUUGUACCUUCAAGCUCUGCUUGGUGUUGGGUGUUUGUCUCGCCUCUGCGUGUAGACUCGCCUCAAAACAAUUGGCAGCCGGCGUAUUGAUUUCGGAGCGCAGUACAUCUCGCGCUUUGCACUCAUAACGACGACGUCCAAAAGUACAUUUUUACACUCUUGACCUCGGAUCAGGUAGGGAUACCCGCUGAACUUAAGCAUAUCAAUAAGCGGACGA
rnacentral:misc_RNA from 1 species